UAUAAAUUUUAGGAAAUCUUUUAACAAUUUGAAAAGUGCUAAAAACUACUUAAUUGAUGUAAAGAGAUGGUGAGCUUUAUAAAUCAAAACGUGAUAAAAUUUCAUGCAAAGGGUGAAAAAUAUGGAUAAAUUUUUUAAGUUUGUUUAUGUUAUGAUUUUUCUUUUUUCCCAAUUUCUUGUUUCAGCGAUAUAUUUUCAUUCUUUUAAACCUUGUGUUCGUGAUCGUGAUUGUCCAGCAUGCCCAUUUAAUUUAAAAAAGAGGUGUCGUAAAACCGUUUGUAUGUGUCAGCAAGGAUAAGAGAAUACACAAAUACACUGCUAGAAUAUUCCAUGACCUGUUAUUUAAUUACUGUGAUCAUCCAAUAAUUAAAAUUUCUUUUAGCUUUUAAAUUUCAUGGACCUUAUUAGUUUUGUAAUUUAAGAUGAUGCAUCAAGAAUAUUUAGUAUUGAUAUUGUCUUCUUCUCUGCCGUAAAAAAAAUAAAAUAUUGUCUUCUUCUCUUUUAA